rnacentral:lncRNA from 11 species
CACUUGCACUGAAAAUGAAACUGACCUCCAAGCAUUACAGAAUUCAAACAAAAAAGUAUUGGGAAAUUCCGUCAUGUUUUGCAUCUAAACCACACUGAAGAUUUUUCCAUUCUGGUACUAUUGGUUUAAGAAAAUAAGACUUGCCAUUUCUCUCU